GAAUGCAAGGAGUGUUGCAACUUCCUAGAAUGGCGGACUGGUGAGUAACACGUGGGUGACAUACCCUUAGGACGGGGAUAGUUCUAGAAAUAGAAGAUAAUACCGGAUACGACCACUACUGUUAGAGGGUAGUGAGGAAAGGGGCUACGGCCCCGCCUGAGGAAUGGCCCGCGGCCCAUUAGCUUGUUGGUGAGGUAACGGCCCACCAAGCCGAUGAUGGGUAUCCGGCCUAAGAGGGUGAACGGACACAUUGGGACUGAGAUACGGCCCAGACUCCUACGGGAGGCAGCAGCUAAGAAUAUUCCGCAAUGGACGAAAGUCUGACGGAGCGACGCCGCGUGGAUGAUGAAGGCCGUGAGGUUGUAAAGUCCUUUUGAACCUGACGAAUAAGCGCGGGAGGGAAUGCCCGUGCGGUGACGGUAGGGUUUGAAUAAG
rnacentral:rRNA from 1 species